CAUUUGGAAUGGCUUUUGUGUUCUCAGGAAAAGUCUGAGUUUCAAAAACCACCCCACAUAAAAGCCACUUGUCAGCAGCAAAAUAAUGUUCUACACUUCUGUUGCACAGAAACUACAGAGAUCACGAUGGCUGAUCAAAGACUUCAGUGAGCGUCUAUUUCUGAUUACCCCAACCACAAACAGAUGGAGACCAUCAGCUCAUUCACUCCGUGUCAUGUACCUCACCGCAGUCACACUGAGGAGAGCCACCGGGGCAAGUUUUGAUAACCAAGUGCUCACUGCAUUUUCCUGUUUUCUGUAUGGACGGGCCUGCUUGCAUCUGUUGCACUGCCAUGGAGCGAUCCCUGAAGCCCCAUAG
rnacentral:lncRNA from 1 species